rnacentral:tRNA from 1 species
NNCGAGUGGUUAAGGCGUUGGACUCAAGAUCCAAUGAGUGUAUGCUCACGUGGGUUCAAACCCCAC